rfam:Dipodomys ordii contig_43515, whole genome shotgun sequence.
GGAUGUGAGGGUGAUCUGACUGUGAUCUCUGUCACCCCAUUGAUGGUCAGGGUUGAUUCGACUGAUCUGGCUGGUAGAUGGGUGUCCCCUUCCUCCCUCACCGCUCCAUGUGCAUCCCUCCGGAAGCUGCACACUUGGUGGAAGAGGAUGACCAUCCCCGAUAGGGGAGGACCAGACUUUAAGCAGUUAAUGAUAACUAUCUAACAGUAACAAAAAAUAGCCAAUAAUAUUAUGUAUCAGUUACUAUUCUAUCUUAACACAUUUAAUCUUCACUAUAACCUAUGACUUCAAAACUUUAAACAUUUAUCUGUUUUUGUGAGCUGUU